rnacentral:rRNA from 1 species
UACGGAGGGUGCAAGCGUUAUCCGGAUUUACUGGGUUUAAAGGGUGCGUAGGUGGGUAGGUAAGUCAGUGGUGAAAUCUUCAAGCUUAACUUGGAAACUGCCAUUGAUACUAUUUAUCUUGAAUACUUUGGAGGUAAGCGGAAUAUGUCAUGUAGCGGUGAAAUGCUUAGAUAUGACAUAGAACACCAAUUGCGAAAGGCAGCUUACUACA